AGCGUCACGAAACCGAGAGAGAUCCUUUGUCGACGCGCGUUGCGAGGUUGCGUUUAUUUCAGUCUAUUCGUCGCUAUUUCUAGCAAGCACCAGAUCGAAUAUGCUUUUUCGUUCUGCCUAUUGGGCAAAGAGAAAAGGUAGAGGAGGGCAGCGAGUGCACGCGCAGUGGAGGAUCAGCUGUGUCGACCAACGUAUAAAUAAUUUUCUCGGCCCACUUCCACACACCGUGGUGCAGCGCAAAGGCUAUGUUAACCACGGCGUUUACGUCGGUAUCCUGUAACGAUGUAGCGAGACACUUCGUGAAACGCGCUUCUUUCGCGGACUAAUGGAUACACUGGAGUAAUUGCAAAUGGUAUACGACUGAAGGGGAGAAAGAAGAGAUGACAAAAGUGUAAAUGGCUGGCGACAUUUUAUAAGCAGAAAUAGUCUUAUGAACUGUGAUUAAAAUGAAGUGAUGAAAAUGAAAUAAUAAUUGCAUAUUAAUUACACGCGUGUAAAAAAGUGGAAGAAUGUUGGAGAAUCAAGUAUGAUUCUUGUCCUAUGUGAUUUCUUAUCCUCGAUUUCUACUUCGAUUUAAUUCUUAUUCGAUAGUGAAAAGUUUGAUAAAUAAUUAGUUUAUCGUUUUAAAAUUGAUUUAGUGAUUUUUCAUUUUAGAUAAAUGUAAUUAUAUACUCUACAUUAAAUUAUUAUGAUAUAUUUAUUUUCAUAAUAAAAUAAUUUUUUAUUUGUUUCUAUUUUAAUAUAAAAUAAAAGUAAUCGAUAAAUAAGAAAAAUAUCAUUGGAAAAACUAACAGUAAAAAACAUGAGAAAAGAAAGCCAAGUGGCAAUGAGAUUUCUCGUGGCUAAAUAAGGAUAGAGUCAAGGCGUAUGCGAUCGAGAAUUCGGAAAUCGGUGGAAUGUCACUCAUGAUCAGGUGUCACACGAAGCAACGUAUCGUUUGUAAACAAGCCAGAGAACAUGACAGACAACUAGAAAUCAGAAAACUUGGAAAUGUACCUUUAUUAAGACGUUUCGCUGGAACAUUUCUUUACUAUUUUCAUUUUUAAUUUUAUUUUCAACCUUAGAUUAAAGAAUUGAAGAUUUGAUUUCAUUCUAAGAAUUUUUAAAUAUAUUAAAUGUAUUUGAGGAUGAAUAAAUUAAUCAUCUAUAAAUUAAAAAUAUUUAAUUUAAUUAUUAAUUAUACAAUGUUUAUUAUAUGUUUUGUGAAUUGAGAAGAUUUAUUUUUUCAACCCAUAAAUUCUUGCUUUUAAACUUUUUUAUUUAUAAUGAAAUUAUUUCAUUACAAUAUAUUAAUUAUAUUGAUGAAUUUAAUGAGAGGAAUUUUCUCAAAUUCUAAUUUAUGCAAAUAUCUUAAGUAUUCGAAUUAUGAUAUUUUUAUAAUUGUUCUGCAUUUUAACUUAGUAUAAUAUUCGAACUAUUCUAGGAAUUUUUUAACAUCUUUGAUGGUCCUUGAAAAUAUCGUUCCGACUGAAUACUUUGCUUCAAAAAUAAUCUCAGCAAUUGUUCUUUAAUGCAAUAUUCUUACGACACGUUUCAGUAAACAAAAAUUGCUUAUAUUUCAUAAAGAAAAUAUUUUCAAAUCCAUAUCGUGAAGCUGAGUCAUAAUUCAAAAAGUUGGCUACCUACCUUCGAAUAUUUAUGUACAUACUGUAUAUACCACGCAUCAUUUAUAUGAAGAUGACUCAAUUUACAAUUAUUAAAUACUUAAAUGAAAUUUGAAAUGGCAUUGAAUAUUAAGAAUAACAAAUGAUGAAAAAAAAAAAUAAAAAAUGAUAAGAAUGUAAAGAUAAAUAAAUUUAGAUGACAAUUAAAGAAUUCAAAUAAUAAAAAUAAGAAAACAGGAAGGAAAAAGAAAAACGAUUCUAAGGAAGUCAGCAAGGAGAAAAGGCGCCGUGCGUAGCUAGUAACGAAGCUAAAGGAAAUUCGUGUAUGGGGAACAACGGUAUGGCGAGCUCCAUUGAGUGUAAAGCCAGCAAGGUAACGGUUUCCGGGCAAGGAUGUGGCACAACCUACAUACCUUCGCCACGAUGUAGCAGAAGGAGGAUAGGAAGAGAGGAAGAAGCGGGUACGAACAGGCAGAAUGAGAAAAAGAAGGAAAAAGCCAACCAACAGCCACUGGCGAACCGACGAGAAAGAUAUGCGGAGAGGAAAGAAAAGAAUAGAGAGACAAAAAAAGACGGUCGACUGGCUCCCAAGCGAGAAACAUCCUCCCCCCUUUGAGUGAAUCGAGACGAUCAUUCGAAUUUCACAAAACGUGCAAUUAUAUCCACUUUUUAAAAAUCAUCAACAACUAUCUCAAAUUUUGUUCUCAUUGUCAUGUAACGGCCAAGAAGUUGGAUAAUCUGUCUUCUUCCUUUUCGAUGCUUUAUAAUUAUUUACGUAUUUUUUAUGAUAGAAAUAAUUCAAAAUAAUUUUGAUUAUAAUAAUGAUCAUAAUUAUUAUUUUUAGUUUACACUAUAUUAUUAUGUCUAUAUUACGUAUAUAUUUUUUUACUCAAAAUAUUCUCAUUUUAUGAUUAAUAAAUAAAUUUAAUACUUUUAAUAUAAUUGCUAAUUUAAUAGAAUGUUGAAUAUAAUUAUAAUUUAAAGCUCAUAAAUAUAAUGUGUGUCUAUA